CUGGUGUGUCUAUGGGUGAGCUUCUGCCUGGUGACAGCAUGGUGCGACUAGUGACAGAGCUACCGGUUUCCUCGGACUGCGCCGACGCGGGUCCGGAUCAUUCUCUUGUUUCCUAUAGGUGAGCUUCUGCCUGGUGUCAGCAUGGUGCGACUAGUGACAGAGCCACCUGUCCCCGGACAUCGCGACGGCGAGUUCGGGUUAUUCUCUAAUUUCCUCUAUGGAGAAGCUCCUGUCCUGCAAUGCCGGUCGCGACGGCCUCGCAAGCCGCGAUGGGGAUUCGCGACUCGGUUUCAUUUCCCUUUGUUAAAACGUUAUAUCCCUGAUUAUUAUUUGUUUACUUUUAUUAAUAAACUUUUCUGUUACUUAACUCUGCAUCUUGGGUCCUCCUUUUCCCCCCCCACGUAACACCAGGUCAGUUAGAACAAAUAAGGAUAGACCUAAAUGGAUAUAGCUAAGAGUCUGUGUUAGCAUAUAGGCCAGAUCACACGUUGCAAUGAAUCAUCGUUGCAUUUUGCUAAUAACAUCAAAGACACUAGGCACCUGUAUGGGUUUGUAGCAGACAGAUCAUGGCACAGGUCUGCUACAAGAACACAUCCAGAGGUUUUUAGCUGAGGUUCAGAUCACCUCCAUUCCUCAGCACCAUGUACAUACCACGCCAGGUCAGAAAGAAAGCCCCAUCAAUGAACAAGUCUAACCUACUGGAAGAAGCAACCAGAUCAGAUUUGGGCCUAAGCACCUUGAUACCUCACAGAAGAUGAAAUGACUGAGUCACCACAACAAUCUAUGAUCAACGACCACGUCUGUCAUCCUGAAAGCACUUUGACCUUCUCUGUGAUGGUGUAUGAGACAAGAGAGGAAACAAAACCAAUAAAAUAUUGAAUAAAA